rnacentral:rRNA from 1 species
GACGAACGCUGGCGGCGUGCUUAACACAUGCAAGUCGAACGGAAAGGCCCUGCUUUUGUGGGGUGCUCGAGUGGCGAACGGGUGAGUAACACGUGAGUAACCUGCCCUUGACUUUGGGAUAACUUCAGGAAACUGGGGCUAAUACCGGAUAGGAGCUCCUGCUGCAUGGUGUGGGUUGGAAAGUUUCGGUGGUUGGGGAUGGACGCGCGGCUUAUCAGCUUGUUGGUGGGGUUGUGGCUUACCACGGCCUUGACGGGUAGCCGGCCUGAGAGGGUGACCGGCCACAUUGGGACUGGGAUACGGCCCAGACUGCUACGGGAGGCAGAAGUGGGAAAUAUUGCACAAUGGGCCGCAGCCUGAUACAGCAACGCCGCGUGCGGGAGGACGGCCUUCAGGUUGUAAACCGCUUUCGCCUGUAACGAUGCGUGAGUGACGGUAAUGGAUAAGGAAGCACCGGCUAACUACGUG